UUCCAUUACAACUACUUCUUGCAAGAAAGGGACAUACUUCUUCAAACCUCCAUUGUGAAUAAAUUCCUUGACUCCUGGGAAGUGAUAGGUAAUGUCCAGGUCGCCCACAAUAAACUUAACUGGUACUUUAAUUUGUAACCCAGUCCAAGGUGCUGUCAACUCCCAGUUUCUGCAACAAGCAACAGAAGAUUACUAGUUUGUAUAACUCAAUUCCUUCCACAAAUGAGAUGGCAACGGUUGACGCUACAUGCAAUUUUAACCUCACACACUAGCUGAUCCUAAACUCAAAGUCUAUGCCUAGGCAACAUCCUUUAGAACAGUAAUGAGAAAACAUGUUGCUCUGUUGAAAUAAUGUGUCACAUAGAAAGCCAUAGAUUUUGGAACAGGAAAUGUGAAAUGAAGUAGUAUGCAUAAGACAAAUAUAUGGAAAAUGAAUCCUAUAUCAAGCAAAAUGGCUAUAUGUUAAUGAUGACAAAAAGGCAAAAAUGACAAAAUGUAGCUGUGCAUGUGUAGAACAUACAGAUCCAAACAUCGAUAGUAGUUCAACCCUCCAGUGAAGCCUUUCUGGUUAAAUUUGCUGACAUAAUAAUUGAUAUCCUCUUCUGACAGCCAAGGCGGCAAACUUGGAGGGUCAGGUAAACCUCUGAAUCCUAUUUCUUUAGGCACACAAGGUGGCUUUGGAUUCCGAGAUGUAAGAAAUCUUCUUAUUAUUUUUUCAGUACCAGCUUGGGAAAAGUCAUCUUCAAUCUCACCUGGUUCCUGCAUUGUAAUUUGGUAAGUUUUUCUGCUGGUUAGUUCAAAGGAGCAAGAAAAAUGGAUUACUUUUACAGCAUCAAAGAGGAGGUGAAAAGAAAUUUAGGUUGAAAAUGCAUGCUAACAUCCAGAUAGCAAGAUAAGUAUUCCAGACCAUGUCUUCAAGGUUAGUUUCUCAAUGGAAAUAUAAACCAAAAUAAGAAAUGAUUCUAAGUUAGGUAAUUUGGCCAGAAGAAUCCCUAUUGAGGACCAUAAGCCCGUAUAAAAUGCCGUUCAGAAUCGAUAUUGUGCAAUGCAUUUCACACCCCCUAAAUACUGUAGAGCCAAUCCUUGAAAAUGAUCAACACAAAUUGAUUUGAUAUGUAGAUGUAUGGCAAUGAUAUGUCGUCGGGUGUAUUGAACAUAUUCUCUGAAAAUCAUCAGAAUUAGCAGUUAUAUACAAUUUUAAGUAAAAUAAUAAUAAUAAUAGUCAAACAAAAAGGAAAAUAAAGACCAUGAGAAUGGAUUGUUAGCUAUCGGCUACCAGCUACCAGCAACAGUUGAAUAAAGUAAGCCACUCGUAACAUUUCAAGCACAUACACUUUAUAACAAAUAGUCUACAAUACAAGUAUAUUUGUAAGAUCAUUUUCAAUUUGCCACAACUAUAUUCUAAAGCUAUGUGUUAUCAGUGGUGGAAAAGAAAAACAUAUAUCAUUUGGAGUCAUUGAGCUUAGAUAGUAAGUAGAGGCAACCAGAGCAAAGUAGAACAGAAGCUGAGAAGCAAAGUAAAUCCAUGGGAGAGUGUAUAACUGCUGUCUUACUUUUUUCAAAGAAACCAAUCAGAAGAAGCAUGACAAUGACAUGUCCCAGCUUGGUUUUCAGCUCAUUCACAGUUUUUACUUCUAACCAUUUCGGUCGUUCCUUCAAGGUGAAUAAUCCAAAUAAACUUGAUCUAUGAGGCACGCUUUGCCCUGACAACGACUUUGCAAUGUCAAGAUUGCUAACAAAAAGCUCAUAAAGACCCAUUCCAAAAACCAGCAUCACUGUUCCUAAAAGAUAGACAUCUGAAAAUGCAUUAAAUUUAUAAUCAGUCACUUGGUUAAGAAAGUUUGGCAGGAAGUCAUAUUAUAUAUAUUUACUAUUUAACAUGCAAAAACAAAAGAACUUGAUGAAAUUUAAAAUGGAUGAAAAUCCAAUUUAUAUCCUGCAACAAUUCCAAGUAUAGUGACUCAUAGAUGAAGCCAAUUAUCAAAUAUAUUUGCCAUCUCAUUUAUUUAAUUUUGAUUCCUACUGUAGGAAGAUUAUUCCAAUCCAAGGUUUAUAGCAGAACCAUAUGUGCAAAACCACUGCUAUAAAUCAUAGUAUCAAAAUGAUCUUGGCUAAAAUGGAAUUGUAUCUAUUGCAUUGAGUAUACAAGGCACAUUUUAACUAAUCUGGUGCAGAAGUUUCAGCUAAUGAAAUAUUUGAGAAUUGAUAUUAGCUACCGCCAGUAGCCAUAAAUAGCUUACACUGUUGAACCCAAAAGAAAAAAGUUACAGUAAGGCAAAGAAUUCAGUGCAAAUGCAUAGCAAAACACCAGCAGCAUAGCUAGUCCUUUAGAGGAAGGUGGGGUAAGGUUAAGCAGAAAAGCAGUUUGAUCAUUGUCCAUUGAUGUAAACUUCCACACAAUUCAAUUGUAAAUAAGAACUCAUGUCAAAGGGAUUAACAGUUUAUAUUAUAAAAUUCACCAGCAUACUGCCACUGGUCAUGGAUGAGUUAACAAUGCAUAUCUAAGAAAAUAUUCCUUUGUGCAGAUGAUGUAGUUUUAUUAAUAGAUGAAACCUGCAUAAUUAACAGGAAGUUAAAGAAUUAUUAGCACCAUUGGUUUAGGUAAAACUAAAACGGAGCACAUACUUGCAACUUUAGCAAUGGAAGGGGAAGCAAUCAAAGUGUUGUUAGCUUAGACGGGUGCAGAGUUCCCACAAGGAAAUUAGCAGAUUACAAUCAUAAGUUCACCAAACCAGCAAUUAGGACUAUAGAAUCAACAAUGCUAUAACAAAUUGAUAAACACUCACCUAUGGCCUCUACCAGCAAUAUGAUCACUUUACCACGAUUCACAAAGUAUUCCAUGAAAGAUGACACAACAUAAGUACAUCCCUGCAUAUCAAACAAAGUAACAUAGAACAAUGAACUAUAAAACAUUUAGCAAGUGUGGGGUAUGGCCCUAUUCAAUUGCAAAGAAUUGGGACUAUUUUCUAGAAAAAUUCCACAGCGAAAGCUGAAAAAUGGAGUUCCAUGUUCAAAUGUAACAUUUGUUGUCUAAAUGGGCAAGUGCAAACCAAUUUUUAAAAUUUUCCAAGUCAUCAAGUUGAAGUAGUUUUUCAGAAUUUCCCUUAGCCAAAGAAGACGGGAAACAUGAAAGCUUCAUUAGUUCUCCAUUUUGUCAUCAAAUUCAAAUGACAUGGGUUCAAGUUCCAAGAAUACCUUUUUUCACUCUAUUUUCUUCUUUUUUCUUUUUUUAUCAUUUUUCUCUCUUACGCAGACUGAUUUUCUUUUUUUAUUUUUUGGCUUACAGAGGCAGGGCCUAGCUCUGUAUCGACAACAAGGAUUACAUUAAAUAUUAAUCCACUUUCAAAUUAAAAGAGAUGGAUGAAGUUUACCUUCACAAAACACAGAAUUGAUCCAAUCAAGGAACCAAAAACCCCAAGAAUAGCCAAGAACCGGCAUCUAUAAAUAACCUACACAUCAUUUAGGAAAAGAAUUGGGGAAGGCAAUAAAAGUCUGGAUUAUUGAGGUUGCAUUUAUGAAGUUUAUCCACAAGAAUCGUUUUCAAGAUUCAAUAAACAACCAUAAGUGUAUAAAACAUGAUAUCACCUUCUCUAUGUCCUCCUCCAC
rnacentral:misc_RNA from 1 species